UACGGGGGGGGCAAGCGUUGUUCGGAAUUACUGGGCGUAAAGGGCUCGUAGGCGGCCAACUAAGUCCGACGUGAAAUCCCCAGGCUUAACCUGGGAACUGCGUCGGAUACUGGAUGGCUUGAAUCCGGGAGAGGGAUGCGGAAUUCCAGGUGUAGCGGUGAAAUGCGUAGAUAUCUGGAGGAACACCGAUGGCGAAGGCAGAUCUCUGGGCCGUAACUGACGCUGAGGAGCGAAAGCAUGGGGAGCGAACAGG
rnacentral:rRNA from 1 species